UGACCGCUGGCGGCGUGCCUAAUACAUGCAAGUCGCGCGAACGGACGAGAAGCUUGCUUCUCUGAUGUUAGCGGCGGACGGGUAAGUAACACGUGGAUAACCUACCUAUAAGACUGGGAUAACUUCGGGAAACCGGAGCUAAUACCGGAUAAUAUUUUGAACCGCAUGGUUCAAAAGUGAAAGACGGUCUUGCUGUCACUUAUAGAUGGAUCCGCGCUGCAUUAGCUAGUUGGUAAGGUAACGGCUUACCAAGGCAACGAUGCAUAGCCGACCUGAGAGGGUGAUCGGCCACACUGGAACUGAGACACGGUCCAGACUCCUACGGGAGGCAGCAGUAGGGAAUCUUCCGCAAUGGGCGAAAGCCUGACGGAGCAACGCCGCGUGAGUGAUGAAGGUCUUCGGAUCGUAAAACUCUGUUAUUAGGGAAGAACAUAUGUGUAAGUAACUGUGCACAUCUUGACGGUACCUAAUCAGAAAGCCACGGCUAACUACGUG
rnacentral:rRNA from 1 species